rnacentral:rRNA from 1 species
UAAAAAGCUCGUAGUUGGAUCUGUGUAUCGGACGGUCGGUUCGCCGCUCGCGGCGUUUAACUGACCGGUCCGGGCGUCCUGCCGGUGGGCCCCGGUUCGCGCCGGGGCCCGUAACUCCCUCCGCGCUGCUCUUAACCGAGUGGUUCGGUGGGCCGGCACGUUUACUUUGAACAAAUUUGAGUGCUCAAAGCAGGCCUUAUGUUGCCUGAAAACUGUGUGCAUGGAAUAAUGGAAUAGGGCCUCGGUUCUAUUUUGUUGGCUUUUCUGAACCCGAGGUAAUGAUUAAUAGGGACAGACGGGGGCAUUCGUAUUGCGACGUUAGAGGUGAAAUUCUUGGAUCGUCGCAAGACGGACCGAUGCGAAAGCGUUUGCCAAGAAUGUUUUCGCUAAUCAAGAACGAAAGUUAGAGGUUCGAAGGCGAUCAGAUACCGCCCUAGUUCUAACCAUAAACGAUGCCAGCCAGCGAUGCGCCGAAGUUCCUCCGAUGACUCGGCGCGCAGCUUCCGGGAAACCAAAGCUUUUGGGUUCCGGGG